UACGAAGGACCCGAGCGUUAUCCGGAUUCAUUGGGUUUAAAGGGUGCGUAGGCGGAUUGAUAAGUCAGUGGUGAAAUCCCAUCGCUUAACGGUGGAACUGCCAUUGAUACUGUCGAUCUUGAAUAUGUUUGAUGUGGGCGGAAUAUGACAUGUAGCGGUGAAAUGCUUAGAUAUGUCAUAGAACACCGAUUGCGAAGGCAGCUCACAAAGCCAUUAUUGACGCUGAGGCACGAAAGUGCGGGGAUCAAACAGGAUUAGAAACCCCCGUAGUCC
rnacentral:rRNA from 1 species